AGUGGCGAACGGGUGAGUAAAGUAUCGGAACGUGCCCAGUCGUGGGGGAUAACGUAGCGAAAGUUACGCUAAUACCGCAUACGAUCUAUGGAUGAAAGCGGGGGAUCGCAAGACCUCGCGCGAUUGGAGCGGCCGAUAUCAGAUUAGGUAGUUGGUGGGGUAAAGGCUCACCAAGCCGACGAUCUGUAGCUGGUCUGAGAGGACGACCAGCCACACUGGGACUGAGACACGGCCCAGACUCCUACGGGAGGCAGCAGUGGGGAAUUUUGGACAAUGGGCGCAAGCCUGAUCCAGCCAUGCCGCGUGCAGGAUGAAGGCCUUCGGGUUGUAAACUGCUUUUGUACGGAACGAAAAGGUUUGGCCUAAUAAGCUGAGCUCAUGACGGUACCGUAAGAAUAAGCACCGGCUAACUACGUGCCAGCAGCCGCGGUAAUACGUAGGGUGCGAGCGUUAAUCGGAAUUACUGGGCGUAAAGCGUGCGCAGGCGGUUAUGUAAGACAGAUGUGAAAUCCCCGGGCUCAACCUGGGAACUGCAUUAGUGACUGCAUAGCUGGAGUACGGCAGAGGGGGAUGGAAUUCCGCGUGUAGCAGUGAAAUGCGUAGAUAUGCGGAGGAACACCGAUGGCGAAAGGCAAUCCCCUGGGCCUGUACUGACGCUCAUGCACGAAAGCGUGG
rnacentral:rRNA from 1 species